CAUAAUCCCAUAGUCUAUUGUAUUACUCUAAAAUACUCCCAUGGAUAAUCUCCAUAGCCUUCCUCUUUGAUCACAAGUUUAAGAUCUUGAUAUCUGUGCAUUCAAAUCCUAUCUAACUUGCACAACCCCAUGGAUAAUCUCCAUAGCCUUCAUUUUUGCUCCAUAAACUUAAGAUCUUGAUAUUUGUGCAUUCAAAUCCCGUCUAACUUGCACAACCAACUCACUUGACUUCCAAGAAGAUAGAUUCUUGAAUCUUUCAAGGUACUUGUUGGUUAGGUAACUUGAUUUUAUAUUUCUAUUUCAAAUCUUCCUGCAAGGGUGCUAUCUAUGAUAAAAUUAAAUAUGUAUCGUUGAUCUAUUCUGCAUCAAUCAUACAAUUUUCACUUAUAAUUGUCAUGGUAUAUUACUCUUACCCUCUCCUUGUCAUUUUCCACCAACCUAGCAUUGUAGCCCCAUUAAUUUUCACCACGUACGCAUUUAGAGAUUUUGGGUAUCCUCUGGGAAAAGCCAUUCAUCAUUUCAUUUUUUUUAUACAAUUAUUUCAGCAAUUUGAUUCGCUUGGCCAUUUGGAUUGAUUUUAAUUUUCUUUUACCAAUUUAUCUAUCUAACCAUUUGAGUAUCCAACGGUGCUGAUUUUUUCAAUAAUUAAAUCCAUUUAUCCAUCUAGUCUGUAUGAUUAUAUUGAAGCUUUCAAUAAUCUGAUUC
rnacentral:lncRNA from 1 species